rnacentral:lncRNA from 1 species
ACCCGAUAGGGUCGGCCCGGCUAAUCCGAUGGGCUAGCCCGAAAAUCCGAAUACAUAACAUAAAUUAUUUAGAUAUAAAAAUUAAAAAAUGAUAAAAUAUUAUAAAGUCUCGUAAUUUCGCUUUUCUGUAUUUUUGAGAUGUUUUGAUUUUAUGAGUUCAAACUAUUGUUGUAUAUUUUAUUGUUUUUUCUUUAACAAAGUUGAAUAUUUUAUUGUUACCAACUUAUUUUAUAUGUUAUGUAAUCUUGAUUUUUUUUCUUCUUCAAUAUUUUAUAUUUUUUGCAUUUCGUGCUUGCUAGUUGCUAUAUAAUUUAGUGUGAAUAGGGGAAUCAAGUUGAAG